GCUCUCUUCAGUUCAAGCUAAAUGCAAAGGUGGACAAACGCCAUACGAUGAACCCUGCCCAACCCAAUAUGGCUGCAUUGCUACUGCAGAAUAGCCCAAUGGUAUCUUCUGAGCAGUCCCCCGACGGUGGAUUAACAAAUGGAUAUGCAGAAGGAUUAGUCAAUCUGAAGACCCUAUAGAAUGGGAUUAGAAUGAACCAGUGGACGUUCUAAUUGGAGGCUUAUAACCUCAGAUGCCUUGAGAAUUAACCACUUAAUAUUCUGGAGGUCUCGUACCAACUGAAAUGGCAGAGGUGACGACCCAAUCGCCUAGAGAUUGAACAGCUGGUAUGGAGGUAAAAGUGUGCCUCAACACUUGAGAUGAUGGCCCAAUCCAGGUCCCUUGAUGGGAAUGUCCAUCUGUAGGUCUUGCAACUGCCUCUGGGUGGAAUGACUGGCAUUGACCAAUUACACUUCAGCGUUGAUAUACCGUAAACAGGGUUUUAAGGUCUUGUGAAAAGAAUGUCCUACACAAGGGCUUUCUCUUGCCAGCAUAACAUCAGCUGUUAUGCUCUAGUGGGAAUUCCACUAACGGUAUGUAGCUGCUGCUCACAUCCUUCACUAUGACUAAAUAAUUUGUGCUAUAAGAGCUCAAGUAUUGAUGGAAAAAUAUUUGCUCUUCACUGCAAAAAAAUCUUGUCAUGUGCAUCCUUUCAGUAAAAUAAAAUUAAUUAACCCU